ensembl:lncRNA
ACAUGUUUCCUCUAGUGAAAAAUAAAUAUAAUUAAAUGUAUUUGAAAUACAUUUAUUUCAUGCUAAGUAUACUACAAACACAUUUACAUAUUUAUAAACAUAAUAAAAAUAUGUGCAGUUGGAACAACUAAUUUUGUACUAAGGCACUUUAACUGUGUGGAAGUAGUCCAGAAUUCUAACUGAAGAUAUACUGAAGUAGGUCUAUAUUUGAUUGCGCUCAAGUAUACUUUAGGUACACUAUAUCUCGGAUUUAAAGAAAGAUAUUAUUCAAAGAUCAUUCCAAAUAAAGAUUUAUUACAAUUUGUAUAUCAGUAAGUCUUAAGCGAUGUGUCUGUAAACAUGUUAAUAGAUUUGAACUAUGCUUAGUAUGAAAUAAAUUUUACUAGGGUUAAGAGAAGCGAUAUCGUCUCAAAAAUUAAUGAAGUCACAACACAAAAACCAGAGAACAGUUUUUAUCAAGAUGACACCAAAUGUAGCACUUCAGAAGCUGAAUCUAGGAUCGCCUCUCGACAGCGUCUUCCUUUACGUUCCGUAUUUCAUUUGUAUCUUUUGGACUUUGAAUAUGUCCGUGUGCAAGUAAAGCUUCGGGAAUGUACAUAUUCAAUCACUGUGAAAAACUGAAUUCCAUUAUGACAGAAUGUGUCACGUUUGCUGUUAUGUUUCUAUAUGCCAUCUCUUAGAACGAAUUAUGUUCUUUUCUGGCUCUUUCUAUUCUGGUUAUUUUCAGGACUGUGUGUAAAGAAAAGGGCACUCGUUGAUUUUUAAACAGAUAGCCAUCCUUUCUACCCAUGAAUAAACCCUCUCUGUGUCCCUCGGUGUAUUUUUUC